rnacentral:tRNA from 13 species
UAUUAGCUCAGGUGGUUAGAGCGCACCCCUGAUAAGGGUGAGGUCUCUGGUUCAAGUCCA